AUUGAACGCUGGCGGCAGGCCUAACACAUGCAAGUCGAACGAGUGGCGGACGGGUGAGUAAUGUCGGGGAAACUGCCUGAUGGAGGGGGAUAACUACUGGAAACGGUAGCUAAUACCGCAUACCAUCAGAUGUGCCUAGAUGGGAUUAGCUUGUGGGUGGGGUAACGGCUCACCAAGGCGACGAUCCCUAGCUGGUCUGAGCGGAUGACCAGCCACACUGGAACUGGGAAACGGCCCAACCUCCUACGGGAGGCAGCAGUGGGGAAUAUUGCACAAUGGGCGCAAGCCUGAUGCAGCCAUGCGGCGUGUAUGAGGAAGUCCUUCGGGUUUUAAAGUACUUUCAGCGGGGAGGCGUUACCCGCAGAGAAAGCACCGGCUAACUCCGUGCCAGCAGCCGCGGUAAUUC
rnacentral:rRNA from 1 species